rnacentral:pre_miRNA from 1 species
AACAUACUCCCUCCGUCCAAAAAUACUUGUCACCAAAAUGGAUGAAAAGAGAUGUAUCUAGAACUAAAAUACAUCUAGAUACAUCCCCUUUUAUCCAUUUUGAUGACAAGUAUUUCCGGACGGAGGGAGUACUAG